rnacentral:lncRNA from 1 species
AUUCAGACGAGGAAGUUAAAAGAAUGACAACAUCAGUUGCAGAGUUGGCUUUUCAAUGUUUGCAGCAAGACAAGGAAACAAGACCUUCCAUGGAAAAUGUCUUGCAGCAGUUAAAAAUAAUUCAAGGCGGGGAGUCCAUGGAGAAUCUUUCUAACUUAGCGAUAACCAAGAUUCAGAAAUGUGCAGUUGACGAGCUGAUUGAUUCACGUCUUGGGUAUAAUUCAGACGAGGAAGUUAAAAGAAUGACAACACCGGUUGCAGAGUUGGCUUUUCAAUGUUUGCAGCAAGACAAGGAAACAAGACCUUCCAUGGAAAAUGUUUUGCAGCAGUUAAAAAUAAUUCAAGGCGGGGAGUCCUCGGAGAAUCUUGAAGAAGUCCAUGACGAUAACAAGAAGUCGAAGAACACUCUGCCACCACC